GACGAAGGAUGCAAGCGUUAUCCGGAUUCAUUGGGUUUAAAGGGUGCGUAGGCGGACUGAUAAGUCAGUGGUGAAAUCUCUCGGCUUAACCGAGAAACUGCCAUUGAUACUGUUAGUCUAGAGUAUAGAUGACGUUGGCGGAAUAUGACAUGUAGUGGUGAAAUGCUUAGAUAUGAUAUAGAACACCAAUAGCGAAGGCAGCUUACUACGCAGUUAUUGACACUGAGGCUCGAAAGCGUGGGGAUCAAACAGG
rnacentral:rRNA from 1 species